AGCAUGUGGUUUAAUUCGAAGCAACGCGAAGAACCUUACCAGGUCUUGACAUCCCGAUGCUAUUUCUAGAGAUAGAAAGUUACUUCGGUACAUCGGUGACAGGUGGUGCAUGGUUGUCGUCAGCUCGUGUCGUGAGAUGUUGGGUUAAGUCCCGCAACGAGCGCAACCCCUAUUGUUAGUUGCCAUCAUUCAGUUGGGCACUCUAGCGAGACUGCCGGUAAUAAACCGGAGGAAGUGGGGAUGACGUCAAAUCAUCAUGCCCCUUAUGACCUGGGCUACACACGUGCUACAAUGGUUGGUACAACGAGUUGCGAGUCGGUGACGGCGAGCUAAUCUCUUAAAGCCAAUCUCAGUUCGGAUUGUAGGCUGCAACUCGCCUACAUGAAGUCGGAAUCGCUAGUAAUCGCGGAUCAGCACGCCGCGGUCGAAUACGUUCCCGGGCCUU
rnacentral:rRNA from 1 species